GACGAACGCUGGCGGCGUGCCUAAUACAUGCAAGUAGAACGCUGAAGAGAGGAGCUUCCUCUUCUUGGAUGAGUUGCGAACGGGUGAGUAACGCGUAGGUAACCUGCCUUGUAGCGGGGGAUAACUAUUGGAAACGAUAGCUAAUACCGCAUAACAAUGGAUGACACAUGUCAUUUAUUUGAAAGGGGCAAUUGCUCCACUACAAGAUGGACCUGCGUUGUAUUAGCUAGUAGGUGAGGUAAUGGCUCACCUAGGCGACGAUACAUAGCCGACCUGAGAGGGUGAUCGGCCACACUGGGACUGAGACACGGCCCAGACUCCUACGGGAGGCAGCAGUAGGGAAUCGUCGGCAAUGGGGGCAACCCUGACCGAGCAACGCCGCGUGAGUGAAGAAGGGUGUCGGAUCGUAAAGCUCUGUUGUAAGUCAAGAACGGGUGUGAGAGUGGAAAGUUCACACUGUGACGGUAGCUGACCAGAAAGGGACGGCUAACUACGUG
rnacentral:rRNA from 1 species